AUUGAACGCUGGCGGCAGGCCUAACACAUGCAAGUCGAGCGGAGCGGCGGACGGGUGCGUAAUGCCUAGGAAUCUGCCUGGUAGUGGGGGAUAACGUCCGGAAACGGGCGCUAAUACCGCAUACUAUCAGAUGAGCCUAGGUCGGAUUCGCUAGUUGGUGGGGUAAAGGCCUACCAAGGCGACGAACCGUAACUGGUCUGAGAGGAUGAUCCGGCACACUGGAACUGAGACACGGUCCAGACUCCUACGGGAAGCAGCAGUUGGGAAGCUUCCGCAAUGGACGAAAGUCUGACGGAGCAACGGCGCGGGAGUGGUGACGGCCUUCGGGUUGUAAAGCUCUGUUAUUCGGGGCGCGGUACCGGAAUAGAAAGCCACGGCUAACUACGUGCCAGCAGCCGCGGUAAUAC
rnacentral:rRNA from 1 species